UGGGGAAUAUUGCACAAUGGGCGCAAGCCUGAUGCAGCCAUGCCGCGUGUAUGAAGAAGGCCUUCGGGUUGUAAAGUACUUUCAGCGGGGAGGAAGGCGAUAAGGUUAAUAACCUUGUCGAUUGACGUUACCCGCAGAAGAAGCACCGGCUAACUCCGUGCCAGCAGCCGCGGUAAUACGGAGGGUGCAAGCGUUAAUCGGAAUUACUGGGCGUAAAGCGCACGCAGGCGGUCUGUCAAGUCGGAUGUGAAAUCCCCGGGCUCAACCUGGGAACUGCAUUCGAAACUGGCAGGCUAGUGUCUUGUAGAGGGGGGUAGAAUUCCAGGUGUAGCGGUGAAAUGCGUAGAGAUCUGGAGGAAUACCGGUGGCGAAGGCGGCCCCCUGGACAAAGACUGACGCUCAGGUGCGAAAGCGUGGGGAGCAAACA
rnacentral:rRNA from 1 species